rnacentral:rRNA from 1 species
UACGUAGGGUGCGAGCGUUAAUCGGAAUUACUGGGCGUAAAGCGUGCGCAGGCGGUGCACCAAGCUCGAUGUGAAAGCCCCGGGCUUAACCUGGGAAUUGCAUUGAGGACUGGUGUGCUCGAGUGCGGCAGAGGGGGGUGGAAUUCCAGGUGUAGCGGUGAAAUGCGUAGAUAUCUGGAGGAAUACCGGUGGCGAAGGCGGCGUUCUGGACUGCAACUGACACUGAUAAACGAAAGCCAGGGUAGCAAACGGG